UUCUAUAACUCCCAAACCCAUGUGAACAUACCUAACGUUGCCUCGGCAGGUCGCACCUACCUUGUAGCACCCUACCCUGUAGGGCCUACCCGGGAGGUGCGGGUAAGCCUGCCGGCGGCCCACCAAACUCUGUUUGAUAUUGAAUUCUGAACCUAUAACUAAAUAAGUUAAAACUUUCAACAACGGAUCUCUUGGUUCUGGCAUCGAUGAAGAACGCAGCGAAAUGCGAUAAGUAAUGUGAAUUGCAGAAUUCAGUGAAUCAUCGAAUCUUUGAACGCAUAUUGCGCCCAUUAGUAUUCUAGUGGGCAGGACCGUUCGAGCGUCAUUUCAACCCUUAAGCCUUCGUUGCUUAGUGUUGGGAGCCUACGGCAACGUAGCUCCUCAAAGUUAGUGGCGGAGUUGGUUCACACUCUAGACGUAGUAAUUUUUUAUCUCGCCUAUUAGUUGGACUAAUCCCCUGCCGUAAAACCCCCAAUUUAUAUCAAGGUUGACCUCGAAUCGGUUCAGACAAACUCGCUAAAUUGAAGCAUCUUAGUCAGCGAAGGAAAAGAAACCAACAG
rnacentral:rRNA from 1 species